UGGGGAAUCUUCCGCAAUGGACGAAAGUCUGACGGAGCAACGCUGCGUGAGUGAAGACGGCCUUCGGGUUGUAAAGCUCUGUGAUCCGGGACGAAAGAGCCUGAGGUGAAUAGCCUAAGGAAGUGACGGUACCGGAAAAGCAAGCCACGGCUAACUACGUGCCAGCAGCCGCGGUAAUACGUAGGUGGCAAGCGUUGUCCGGAAUUAUUGGGCGUAAAGCGCGCGCAGGCGGCUUCCUAAGUCCAUCUUAAAAGUGCGGGGCUUAACCCCGUGAUGGGAUGGAAACUGGGAAGCUGGAGUAUCGGAGAGGAAAGUGGAAUUCCUAGUGUAGCGGUGAAAUGCGUAGAGAUUAGGAAGAACACCGGUGGCGAAGGCGACUUUCUGGACGAAAACUGACGCUGAGGCGCGAAAGCGUGGGGAGCAAACAGG
rnacentral:rRNA from 1 species